rnacentral:rRNA from 1 species
GCACAAGCGGUGGAGCAUGUGGUUUAAUUCGACGCAACGCGAAGAACCUUACCUGGACUAGAAUGUGAGGGAAGUUCGCUUAAUGGCGAGCGUCCGGGCAACCGGACCCAAAACAAGGUGCUGCAUGGCUGUCGUCAGCUCGUGUCGUGAGAUGUUGGGUUAAGUCCCGCAACGGGCGCAACCCCUAUUGACAGUUGCCAAUAUUAAGUUAGGAACUCUGUCAAGACUGCUGUUGAUAAAACGGAGGAAGGUGGGGAUGAUGUCAAGUCAUCAUGGCCUUUAUGUUCAGGGCUACACACGUGCUACAAUGGCCGGUACAAAACGUCGCAAUCCCGCAAGGGGGAGCUAAUCGCAAAAACCGGUCUCAGUUCGGAUUGGAGUCUGCAACUCGACUCCAUGAAGUUGGAAUCGCUAGUAAUCGCAAAUCAGCAUGUUGCGGUGAAUACGUUCCCGGGC